rnacentral:rRNA from 1 species
CGAGGAAAAGAAAUCAACCGAGAUUCCCCCAGUAGCGGCGAGCGAACGGGGAGCAGCCCAGAGCCUGAAUCAGUGUGUGUGUUAGUGGAAGCGUCUGGAAAGGCGCGCGAUACAGGGUGACAGCCCCGUACACAAAAAUGCACAUGCUGUGAGCUCGAUGAGUAGGGCGGGACACGUGGUAUCCUGUCUGAAUAUGGGGGGACCAUCCUCCAAGGCUAAAUACUCCUGACUGACCGAUAGUGAACCAGUACCGUGAGGGAAAGGCGAAAAGAACCCCGGCGAGGGGAGUGAAAAAGAACCUGAAACCGUGUACGUACAAGCAGUGGGAGCACGCUUAGGCGUGUGACUGCGUACCUUUUGUAUAAUGGGUCAGCGACUUAUAUUCUGUAGCAAGGUUAACCGAAUAGGGGAGCCGAAGGGAAACCGAGUCUUAACUGGGCGUUAAGUUGCAGGGUAUAGACCCGAAACCCGGUGAUCUAGCCAUGGGCAGGUUGAAGGUUGGGUAACACUAACUGGAGGACCGAACCGACUAAUGUUGAAAAAUUAGCGGAUGACUUGUGGCUGGGGGUGAAAGGCCAAUCAAACCGGGAGAUAGCUGGUUCUCCCCGAAAGCUAUUUAGGUAGCGCCUCGUGAAUUCAUCUCCGGGGGUAGAGCACUGUUUCGGCAAGGGGGUCAUCCCGACUUACCAACCCGAUGCAAACUGCGAAUACCGGAGAAUGUUAUCACGGGAGACACACGGCGGGUGCUAACGUCCGUCGUGAAGAGGGAAACAACCCAGACCGCCAGCUAAGGUCCCAAAGUCAUGGUUAAGUGGGAAACGAUGUGGGAAGGCCCAGACAGCCAGGAUGUUGGCUUAGAAGCAGCCAUCAUUUAAAGAAAGCGUAAUAGCUCACUGGUCGAGUCGGCCUGCGCGGAAGAUGUAACGGGGCUAAACCAUGCACCGAAGCUGCGGCAGCGACGCUGAUGCGUUGUUGGGUAGGGGAGCGUUCUGUAAGCCUGCGAAGGUGUGCUGUGAGGCAUGCUGGAGGUAUCAGAAGUGCGAAUGCUGACAUAAGUAACGAUAAAGCGGGUGAAAAGCCCGCUCGCCGGAAGACCAAGGGUUCCUGUCCAACGUUAAUCGGGGCAGGGUGAGUCGACCCCUAAGGCGAGGCCGAAAGGCGUAGUCGAUGGGAAACAGGUUAAUAUUCCUGUACUUGGUGUUACUGCGAAGGGGGGACGGAGAAGGCUAUGUUGGCCGGGCGACGGUUGUCCCGGUUUAAGCGUGUAGGCUGGUUUUCCAGGCAAAUCCGGAAAAUCAAGGCUGAGGCGUGAUGACGAGGCACUACGGUGCUGAAGCAACAAAUGCCCUGCUUCCAGGAAAAGCCUCUAAGCAUCAGGUAACAUCAAAUCGUACCCCAAACCGACACAGGUGGUCAGGUAGAGAAUACCAAGGCGCUUGAGAGAACUCGGGUGAAGGAACUAGGCAAAAUGGUGCCGUAACUUCGGGAGAAGGCACGCUGAUAUGUAGGUGAAGCGACUUGCUCGUGGAGCUGAAAUCAGUCGAAGAUACCAGCUGGCUGCAACUGUUUAUUAAAAACACAGCACUGUGCAAACACGAAAGUGGACGUAUACGGUGUGACGCCUGCCCGGUGCCGGAAGGUUAAUUGAUGGGGUCAGCGCAAGCGAAGCUCUUGAUCGAAGCCCCGGUAAACGGCGGCCGUAACUAUAACGGUCCUAAGGUAGCGAAAUUCCUUGUCGGGUAAGUUCCGACCUGCACGAAUGGCGUAAUGAUGGCCAGGCUGUCUCCACCCGAGACUCAGUGAAAUUGAACUCGCUGUGAAGAUGCAGUGUACCCGCGGCAAGACGGAAAGACCCCGUGAACCUUUACUAUAGCUUGACACUGAACAUUGAGCCUUGAUGUGUAGGAUAGGUGGGAGGCUUUGAAGUGUGGACGCCAGUCUGCAUGGAGCCGACCUUGAAAUACCACCCUUUAAUGUUUGAUGUUCUAACGUUGACCCGUAAUCCGGGUUGCGGACAGUGUCUGGUGGGUAGUUUGACUGGGGCGGUCUCCUCCUAAAGAGUAACGGAGGAGCACGAAGGUUGGCUAAUCCUGGUCGGACAUCAGGAGGUUAGUGCAAUGGCAUAAGCCAGCUUGACUGCGAGCGUGACGGCGCGAGCAGGUGCGAAAGCAGGUCAUAGUGAUCCGGUGGUUCUGAAUGGAAGGGCCAUCGCUCAACGGAUAAAAGGUACUCCGGGGAUAACAGGCUGAUACCGCCCAAGAGUUCAUAUCGACGGCGGUGUUUGGCACCUCGAUGUCGGCUCAUCACAUCCUGGGGCUGAAGUAGGUCCCAAGGGUAUGGCUGUUCGCCAUUUAAAGUGGUACGCGAGCUGGGUUUAGAACGUCGUGAGACAGUUCGGUCCCUAUCUGCCGUGGGCGCUGGAGAACUGAGGGGGGCUGCUCCUAGUACGAGAGGACCGGAGUGGACGCAUCACUGGUGUUCGGGUUGUCAUGCCAAUGGCACUGCCCGGUAGCUAAAUGCGGAAGAGAUAAGUGCUGAAAGCAUCUAAGCACGAAACUUGCCCCGAGAUGAGUUCUCCCUGACUCCUUGAGAGUCCUGAAGGAACGUUGAAGACGACGACGUUGAUAGGCCGGGUGUGUAAGCGCAGCGAUGCGUUGAGCUAACCGGUACUAAUGAACCGUGAG